AGAUCCCUGAAAGAUGAUCAGGUUGAUAGGUCAGAGGUGGAAGUGUGGCGACACAUGGAGCUGACUGAUACUAAUCGGUCGAGGACUUAACCAA
rnacentral:rRNA from 1 species